GAAUCAGAAUUAGUGUAAUAUAACCUUAAGGCUUCUCAGCACAUACUGAUUUGCAAAAUAUGCUAUGUAAAUCAAGCUGGCCGCAAACGGGACCAACUAAUAAAUGGAAAAAACAACAGAAAGAUGAUGGAUGAUCAAGAUGUUUGUAUAACUUUCAUUUAUACACAUUUGUUCAGAAUUAAGAUGAUGAAUUUAAAGUACUUAAGAUUUUAAGUACAUGGGAUUCCAUGUUAAGCAUAAAUAGUAUUGAAGAAAUUCUUGACAACAAGCAAUUAUAAAGCAUUCGUAAAUAGUUCAACAACCCUGUAGUGGACCCCACCUUCAUUUGGGAGUUGAAGCUAAACGAAAUCCACGCAAUUUACGACAUGACGGCGAUUUUGAAAUAUUGCAAAAAAGAACUUUUCUCAAGAAGACAGAUAAACAAACGAAUGUUCUUACCUCUAAACAAGUGCAGUUCAAGUGGCCGACUUCUCUUACAAUAAUUAGCUUGGUACCCGGCUCAGACUACGAUAGUGCUGUCGGGUUAUCAUUCUAUACAUAAAUGGUGACGUCAAUACGUUAUUGUCAGACCGAACUAAUAAAAUGAAGUUGGUCGGCGAUGAUUUCUUGGUUGACGGCGUGCGGGUGGGUGAUGCGCGUCACAUCAUCUUUGCGACGUCCAAUCAGCUGAAGGAAACCCAGAGAUAUGGUUUAUAGACGGGACGUUCAAGCUGGUAAAAACUCCGUUUUACCAACUGUUCACUAUACACGCCAUCGUGAAGAAGGGUGAAGACACUAAGCAAGUGCCGCUGGUGUACGUGCUGCUGUCCAGGGGUACGAAGGAUGACUAUACCGGUUUAUAAGUGUGCUAUCAACCAUUUACCAACGCCUGGAAAAUCCACUGGUCGAGUGGUUCAUGCUCGAUUUUGAAGCAGCGGCGUGGCAGGCGAUACGCCAGAUCUACCCAUGGGCCACUCUGAAAGGAUGUGUGUUUCAAUGGAACCAGCGCGUGUACCGGUAGGUUGUGAACGAGGGCCUCGCCACGGCAUUUGCGGCAAAGGGCGACAAGUUCCUCUUCUUGAGGAAACUGAUGCCCUUGCCGUUUUGCCGUGCGAGCACAUCGUUUCCGCUUUCGAACAGCUGAAGCUGCAGGCUGAAGAGGUAUGCAUAUUGUUGUUUAAUGUUUAUAAAUGUAUUUAAUACUAUUUAUUACGCAAAUAUAUCGUUUGAUUUAUUCUGAUAUACAUUAAAAAUAAUGUUACCAAUGUUGUUACUAGUUAAUAGAAAUAAAUUAUCAUUUCGGUCGGAGGUCCUAUACUGAAUGUGGUGCUGUACAAUACUACCUGGACCGGACGUGGAUCCGAGGAUCGAUGUGAUAACCGGAUAUUUUGAGCGUAUAUCGCCAUACAGUCAAAACGAAAUGUAAUAUAUCUGAUUUGUGUAUGAAUAGUAUAGUAUAGUAUGCUGUUGUAUUUUUUGUAUAUAUUUGUGUACUUAUGUUUAUGGGUAUUGAAACAUUUUUAAAUAUAUGUAUGCAUUCACUUUUGAUAUUGUUAAUGUAUCAUAUUUAAAAAAGUAAAGUAAAUCUUGUAAUGAAAUAAAUCUUGUUUUGAUUUUCUUGUUUAUUGUAAUGAUUAUCAUGUCAAUUC